rnacentral:lncRNA from 1 species
UGGAGGGGCUCUUAAUCAGUUAAUAGGAUAUUUGAAAGUAUCUUAGUUGUAUAUUUGUAUUUGAUUUAAAUUACAUACUUUGUGAUUUCUUUGUAGCACUUAAUAUGUUGUGUAUAACAAUCUUUGUUUAUACAACAAUUGCCACGUGAUAUGGCAUAGAGUACCAAAUCUUGUCAAAUAUAUGUAGUUUAGUUUGAUUAGUGAUUUUGCAUCUAUUGAUAGU